rnacentral:lncRNA from 1 species
GUGCGUGGCGUGUCCGCUGGACCAGGGGACGGGGGCGCGCCGCAGGUGUAGGAGCUUUGCGCGCCUACCUGGCGGUCGUGGGUCGAGGAGGGGUCAAGAAUUGUUGUCUAGCAGCCCUCUCCCCGCUGCCCUGUCCUGGCCGAGGCAAAGGCCGCGUGCGCUCCGCGUCUGCCAGGCUUUAGGGCUGCGCGGACACUGGGUGGGUGGUGGGCCGAGGCGACCGGAAGGUCCUGGCCGCCUUUCCGGUCUCCUCAGCACCCUGGAGCGCCGCCCUCGGGUUUCGGUCUCCUGGAUCUGCGGGUCGGUCUCGGCGGGCGGAUUACUCCUCGCCCACAACCUCGAGGCCCCGGGGUCAACCGCGCCCUCCGGGCCGGCAACCCAGGGUUUAGUCAGAUUCCUCCUGACCCACCGCUUCUGGGAAAGAGGCGCCUCCCGUCAGGAGGAUGCUGAGUUCCUCAUGACUGGACCAGUGAGUGUCCACUCCCUGGUCCCUGGCGAGAGAGGCGGGACCCCCACGCCCUCCUGGCGCUCUUUGCAGAGAUGUUCCUCAGGCCCAAUCCGGGAUUUGGGAUGUCUGUGCGUGCUGUGGAGCAGAGAGUUUGCAACAUGGUCUCACUUUGUCACCCAGGCUGGAAUGCAUUGGCAUGAACACGUCUCACUGCAGCCUCAACCUCCCAGGCUGAAGUGACCCUCCAACUCUGCUUUCACAGUAGCUGUGAUAUGGUUUGGCUGUGUCCCCACCCACAUCUCAUCUUAAAACCCAGUGGGAGGUAAUUGAAUCAUGGGGGCAAGUCUUUCCUGUGCUGUUCUUGUGAUAGUGAAUAAGUCUCAUGAGAUCUGAUGGUUUUUAAAAGAGUUCUGGCUGGGCAUGGUGGUGGGCACCUGUAAUCCAAACUACUAGGGAGGCUCAAGCAAUUCUGUCUCAGCCUCCCGAGUAGCUGGGAUUACAGGCGUCCGCCACCACGCCCUUCUAAUUUUUUGUAUUUUUAGUAGAGACGGUUUCACUAUGUUGGCCAGUGGAAGACAUUUCUAAGCAGCAAAGCAUUCAAGAGGUGGCUUGGGUGUUGUUAAAGGCAUUCUGUUUUGACUGGGUGCGGUGGUGCACACCUAUAAUCCCAGCACUUUGGGAGGCCGAGGAGGGUGGAUCAAGAGGUCAGGAGUUCAAGACCAGCCUGGCCAAUAUGGUGAAACCCUGUCUCUACUGGAAAUACAAAAAUUAGCUUGGCAUGGUGGUGUGCGCCUGUAGUCCCAGCUUCUCGGGAGGCUGAGGCAGGAGAAUCGCCUGGACCCGGGAGGUGGAGGUUCCAUUGAGCCAAGAUCAUGCCACUGACUCCAGCCUGGGCAACAGACUGAGACUCUGUCUCAAAAAAAAAGAAAAAAAAAAAGGCAUUCAGUUUUAUAAGGGAAGCAGAGCAUAAAAGUUUGGGAAAUUUGCAGCCUGACAAUGUGAUAGUAAAGAAAAUCCCAUUUUCUGAGAGGAAAUUCAAGCUGGCUGCAAAAAUUUGCAUAAGUACCAAGGAGCCGAAUGUUAAUAUCCAAGACAAUGGGGAAAAUAUCUCCCAGACAUGUCAGAGGUCUUCAUGGCAGCCCCUCCCAUCAACAGGUCCAGAGGCCUAGGAGGAAAAAGUGGUUUUGUGGGCAGCACCCAGGGUCCCCAUGCUAUGUGCAGCCUAGGGACUUGGUGCCGUGCGUCUCAGCUCCUCCAGUGGUGACUGAAAGGGGCCAACAUAGAGCUCGGGCUGCUGCUUCAUGGGGUGGAAGUCCCAAAUCUUGGCAGCUUCCAUGUGGUGUUGAGCCUGCGAGUACAUAGAAGUCAAGAAUUGGGGUUUGGGAACCUCCAUCUAGAUUUCAGAAGAUAUAUGGAAAUUCCUGGAUGCCCAGGCAGAAGUUUGCUGUAGGGGUGGGGCCUUCAUGGAGAACCUCUGCUAGAGCAGUGCAGAAGGGAAAUGUGGGGUCGGAGCCCCCACACAGAGUCCCCGCUGCGGCCCUGCCUGAUGGAGCUGUGAGAAGUGGACCACCGUUCUCCAGACCCCAGAAUGGUAGAUCCACCGACAGCUUGCACCGUGUGCCUGGAAAAGCUGCAGACACUCAAUGCCAGCCUAUGAAAGCAGCCUGGAGGGAGGCUUUACCCUGCAAAGCCACAGAAGUGGAGCUGCCCAAGACCAUGGGAAUCCACCUCUUGCAUCAGUGUGACCUGGAUGUGAGACAUGGAGUCAAAGGAUAUCAUUUUGAAGCUUUAAGAUUUGACUGCCCUGCUGGAUUUCAGACUUGCAUGGGUCCUGUAGCCCCUUUGUUUUGGCCAAUUUCUCCCAUUUGGAAUGGCUAUAUUUACCCAAUGCUUAUACCACCAUUCUAUCUAGGAAGUAAAUAACUUGCUUUUGAUUUUACAGGCUCAUAGGCAGAAGGGAUUUGCCUUGUCUCAGAUGAGACUUUGGACUGCGGACUUUUGAGUUAAUGCUGAAAUGAGUUAAGACUUCGGAGGACUAUUGGGAAGGCAUGAUUGGUUUUGAAAUGUGAGGACAUGAGAUUUGGGAGGGGCCAGGGGUGGAAGGAUACGGUUGGGUUCUGUGUCCCCACCCAAGUCUUAUCUUGUAGCUCCCAUAACCCAUGUGUCUUGGGAGGGACCUGGUAAUUCAAUCAUGUGGGCUGGAUGCGGUUGCUCAUGCCUGUAAUCCCAGCACUUUGGGAGGCCAAGGGGGAGAUCACUUGCGAUCAGGAGUUUGAGACCAGCCUGGCCAACAUGGUGAAACCCCAUCUAUACUAAAAAUACAAAAAUUAGCCAGGCACGGUGGUGGGCACCUGUAAUCUCAGCCUCCCGUGUAGCAGGCAUUGUCACAGGCGCCUGCCACCACACCCACCUAAUUUUUUUGUAUUUUUAGUAGAGACGGGGUUUCACCGUGUUAGCCAGGGUGGUAUCGAUCUCCUGACCUUGUGAUCCGCCCACCUUGGGCUCCCAAAGUGUUGAGAUUACAGGCGUAAGCCACUGCACCCGGCAAUAAACCUCUUUCUUUUGUAAAUUGCCCAGGUAUGUCUUUAUCAGCAGCAUGAAAAUGGACUCAUACAAUGAUCCAUUACCUAGGGUAAAAUUCUCCUGAAUGUCAAACAGAGAUAAACUACAUUUGGGUUUUGGGUAAGUCCCCUGUAAUGAUGAAUCAAGAAUCCUCAAGUCUGUCUUGCCACCCAUUUAAUACGUAUUUUUGUUAAGGCUGAAGUUUAGAGUUAGAAUCAGGACAUUUUGGCCUAUUGAGAGGUUCUGAAUUCCAACAGAAGAUGCCAUGUAAAUCAGUGAAUUUGAUUCUUUUAAAAGCAACUUACAAAAUUUACAAGAUGUAUUCAAUAAAGCAGUUUAGCUUUGGUAUAUCAAACCUUAUAAUGAACCAUUUUUCCCACUUCAUCUUAUGCAAUGUUUAAUAUUUUCUAUUUUUGUCAAGGAUAUUAAACCUACACCUGGAAACAUAUUAAAUGCCAACUUAAAAUGUGAGAAGUUUGGCAGAACUCAGACCCAUUCUUCCAAUUUCCAAGCUGUUUAAUCACACUGAUUCAGACACUCUGGAUAGCAGCUGGGAUUGUAGUUAUCUUUAUGCUUUGAGCUCUCUAGUUUUGUCUACACAUCUUAUAAAAUAUCCCCUCCUCAUUCUCCUCUAGCUGGAACACUAACCCAAUGGAUGUUGUGGUGAACUUUCUUUGACCAGGCAGAGAAGUGCAGCAUUGGGUGGACCAUGCACAACCAGUUUGAGAAGCACUGCUCUAGGGGUUGGGGGAGCAACAAUAGAAAGAGUGUAGGUUCUGAAUACCUGAAGCAUACAUUUUAGCUCUAGACUGCUUAUAUUGUUGUUACAUGAAAGAGAACUUUUAAUCUGGUUUAAACCACUGGAUCUCUUUAUUCCAGCAAGUGAAUCUAUAUCCAACUAAUAUUUACUCCCAGUCUGUUCUUUCUCACCCCUCUUUCCCUUACUAUAAACCUUUUCUAUAUCAAUUUAUAUCAUUAGUUGCUCAGCCCACAAACCAGAUGUCACUUUUGUUUUCUCUUUUCCUUCCCAUUCAUAGCCAGGCCAUCGUUGUGACUUAUUGGCUGUACCUCCAAAAUAUAUCCCAGAUCUGAUCUCUUCUUAUAAUUUGUACUGCUACAACCUUAGUCAAAGCCACUAAUAUCUCUUAUCUGAACUCCAGUGGUUUACUAGUUUUCUGCCUCUCUUCUUGACACAAUUCAUCUUUCUACAUAGCAGCCAGAGUAAGAUAAAAUCAUAAAUCAGAUCAUAUAACUUCUACCCCCUGUACCAAUGGCUAUCUUUUAUACUCAGAAUAAAAUCCAAAACCUUUAUUUGGCUUCCAAGAUCCUACAAGAUAGAGACCUUACUUCUCAUCUUGUACCCAUCAUUUGAUCUUCAGUCCCUUGAAAAUGCCAAGUCUAUUUCCAUUUCAGGGCCUUUGUGCUUGUUACUAUUGUUUCUUUUCUCUUGGAAAACUGCCCAGAUCUUUCCUUAGCUGAAUUAUUCAGAUCCCAACUCAAAUAUCAUCUCUUUAGAAAAUUCUUUCAGAACCAGGUGUGGUGGUGCACACCUGUAAUCUCAGCUACUCGAGUGGCUGAGGCUGAUGGAUUUCUUGAGCCCAGAAGUCUGAGGCCAGCCUGGGCAAUAUAGCAAGAUCCUGUCAAAAAGAAAAAGGUAUCUCACCAUGAUUAUAUUUUAAUUUCCCUUCAGCAAUUAGAAGUCCCUGAAAUUAAUUUACCUUAUUUGUUGGCAUUUGUUGGCAUUGUGCAAGUAAUGCUUGCACCCAGGAGGCAGAGUUUGCAGUGAGCUGAGAUCACGCCACUGCACUCUAGCUUGGGCAAUAGGGCGAGACUGAGUCUCAAAAUAAAUAAAUAAAUACAUAAAAUAAUUUUAGAGACAGAGUCUUGCUCUGUUGCCCAGGCUGGAGUGAAGUGGUGGGAUCUCGGCUUACUGCAACCUCUGCCUCCUGGGUUCAAGCGAUUCUCCUGCCUCAGCCUCCUGAGUAGCUGGGAUUACAGGCGUGCACCACCACGCCUGGCUAAAUUUUGUAUUUUUAGUAGAGAUGGGGUUUUGCCGUGUUGGUCAGGCUGGUCUCGAACUCCUGACCUCUGAUCUGCCCACCUCGGCCUUCCAGAGUGCUGGGAUUACAGGCAUGAGCCACCAUGGGCCCACAAAGCUAUUUUACUUAGCAUUUUUUUUCCCGAGGCUAAAUUGGGAACUACUGACAAUACUAUUGACAAUACUAAAUAUAUUUUUAAAUUAUUUUACUUAUUUUUGAGACAGGGUCUCACUGUGUCACCCACGCUGUAGUGCAGUGAACCAUCACCACUCACUGCAGUCUCACCCUUCCUGAACUCAGGUGAUCCUCCCACCUCAGCCUCCUGAGUAGCUGGGACUACAGGCAUGCACCACCAUGCCUGGCUAAUUUUUAAAAUUUUUUGUAGAGAUGGAGUUUCGCCAUGUUGCCCAGGCUGGUCUCAAACUUCUGGGUUCAAGUGAUGCAAGUGUCUCAGCCUCCUAAAGUGCUAGGAUUACAGGCGUAAGCCACUAUGCCCAGCCUUUUAUUUUAUUUUAUUUUAUUUAUUUAUUUUUUGAGACAGAGUCUUGUUCUGUUGCCCAGGCUAGAGUGCAGUGGUGCAAUCUCAGCUCACUGCAACCUCUGCCUCCCAGGUUCAAGCGAUUAUCAUGUCUCAGCCUCCCUAGUAGCUGGGAUUACAAGUGUGCACCACACGCGGCUAAUUUUUGUAUUUUUUGUAGAGGCAGAGAGGCAGGGUUUUAUUAUGUUGGCCAAGCUGGUCUUGAACUCCUGGCCUCAAGUGAUCUGCUCACCCCGGCCUCCCAAAGUGCUGAGAUUACAGGUGUGAGCCACCAUGCCCACCAACCUAUUUUUUAUUUUAAAAAAUUGACAGCAUACUAAAUGUUUGUAAUGCAAAUGAUAAAAUUGCUACAAUGAAAACAAGAAGUUGAGAAUUAGAUGAAGAGUUGAUUAAGGGAACUAUGAGUCACUGUGUUAGAGCAUGUAUAUUAUGAAAAUUAUAGCAGAAGUGAUAAAGGGUGACAAUUGUUACCUAUCUUCAAUCAAAAGCUCUUUGAAUAUCUUUCUUUUUUUUAAUUUUAUGAAUUUUUUUUACAGAGACAGGGUCUCACUAUAUUGCCCAGGUUGGUCUCGAACUCCUGGGCUCAAGGGAUCCUCUUGCCUUGGCCUCACAAAGUACCUGGAUUACAGGCAUGAGCCACAGUGCCUGGCCCUCUUUGAAUAUCUUUAAUGCUUUUAGAGAUUAGCAUCAGAGAAUUAUUAAUACUAGAGGGCACAAGGAAUUAGCCAUUGCCAGUGGACACCUACAUAGGUGUGACUAUGUGACUCAGUUUUAAAAAUGUGACACAAUGAAAAAAUUCCUUGGAUGUUAUGGAGGACGAAAAUUUUGUAAGUCCUAUCCAUUCUUUAAUGGAGAAACUAAAAUUUACAAUAUUACUUUAUUUAGCCCAAGAUUUUCUUAAGCUUUGUAUUUUCUAAUUCAGCUUUGGCUUACAGAAUCAUGCUUGAAGUUUGAGACUGCCAGCUUUCAACAGGCAGUUACUAGUGAAACUCUUUGGAAAGAUGAGAAGAUGUUGACAUAAGUGUAAUGUGAGACAAAGCAAAGUAAAAUGUAAUUUUUAAGAAAAUGUUGCCGGGUGUGAUGGUGGCUCAUGUUGCUGUUGGUUGCUAUGGGAGUGAACGAAGGGGGACGAAUGCAGAAAUGAAGACAAAGACAAAAAGAGUAUUUUUGGAAGAAGGGGUCAGGGGACUCCUUGCUUCUAGUGGGCAAGGGCCCUGAGCUUCUACAGCCCUUCAUAUUUAUUAGGUAGAAAGAGCAGGGAGGGAGAGGUAACAGUUGGUCAGCUGCUUGAUUUAUCACAGGUACACAUAAUUGCUUCCUUUGUACAACAGGCUUCAGAUGUUACUAUAGAUAAUCACAAGGAACACUGCGCUUGGGGCAUGACUGCCCUCAGCAACCCUUCUGGCGGCAGACACAGUUGUUAGUUUUCCAACAUCCUGCUUUCAUGAGAACAGUUUUCUGUUUGCUCAUAUAGCCUUCAGUGGUAUACUGAGUUGGUCACGACCUUCAUUCUUUCGGCCUGUAACAUCUCCCCAUUUUUGUUUUUGCAUUAAUUGAAUAAAGGUAAUUGCAGGUUGUGCAGCUCUCAAUUGCCGUUUGGUGGUCCAGCUGAUUUUGCAGACUGUUAACAAAAAACAAAAAUAUAAUAACAUUAAUCCCAUAGUUACAAAAAAGACAUUGAGAUGCUAUUUGAAGUAGGUCCCAGGGUUAAGGCUGUCUAAACCUUGCUGGAAUUCUGCCCAAGCUUUUAAAGAGGGCUGAAACGCUUGAGUCUGCUUAUUCAAGUUAAGGAUUUUACUUUGUAAAUCAUUAAUAUCAAAAGUAACAUUGAAUGUGAAAGCUCCCUGUAAAUGGGCUUUUACAAGGCUCAAUGGAUAUUCACUUUGGUUAUAUACCAAAUUGGUCACACAAAUAUGAGUAUGAUUAAAAUGACAACGCAUUGCUGCUGCAACUGCAAACUUUGUACUUGUUCCCCUAGCCAUAGAACAGUAGUCUUUAACAUUGCCACCUCUGUUUGUAUUUCGGUGUUAAUUUUAUUUUGAAGCAUCCAUGCCUGGUCGACUGUGCAUGUCCAGUUUUCCACAUAUUGAGCUGUUUGAAUGGAGCUGUGCGUUGCUGCUGAGGACAACACAACAGAGGUUAUUAAUGUAACUAAGGAGACUAUAACAAAAAUUAUCAUGCCUAAGGCUCUAUGAGCACGAUGAGUAAGCGGAGUAAAAAGGAGUUUCAUAAGAUGUAAAGCGGGGGUGGCUGCCCAAGGCUAAGAUAAAUUUACAGGAAUUCAUAAUCCAGGAACAUGACCUAGAAUUGUUAGGGUGGAUAUGUCAUGUGUUUGUAUUGUGCUAUGAUUAAGGCAAUGAUACAGUUGACAGGAAUCACAAGUCAAUUGGGCAUCAUCUACCUGGAGGUGGGUUUUUUUUGCUGCUAAGAAAAUAUAAGGAUUAAAAACAAAUUGUAAAUUGAGUGGUAAUAUUUUCUACAAGGGUAACAUUAAAACUGUGUUUAGCACAAUUACUAUUAUUGGAUAGUGUCCCAAUCCAAAUGCUGCCAUUCAUAAAUGGGAGUGCUGCUUUCCAUAUUGACUCCUGAAUUGGACCUCUCUUUCCUUGAUAAUGCCAUUGAGGCAAAGGUGAGCUAAAGCAUGUGCUGUGUCAAGCAAUUUGGGCAGCAGAUUGAGAUUGAAUUGCAAUGUGAUGUAGUGGGAGAUGUUAAAGUUUUGCCACCAGUUCCAGCAAAGUUAAUGCCAUGAGGUCUGAUGCUCAUGUCUCCCAACCAAAUGACCAUGGGGACCCCAGUAAAUAAUGUCUCCCAUUAGCAUGGACUGUUGUCUAGCUAGGGAGCUAAGACACGGGGUCCAAGGAGGGGGGUUAGAAUUAUCAAAGGGAGCCCAUUCUAUAUAAUUAAUACAAUUUGGGUGAUGGGGCCGGGAGUGAUUAGUAACUACACCAGUAAUAUUAGUAGAACUAAGGCCCAAUAGGUACGUAAAUUUUCCAUGGUAACUCAACCAUGCCUGGGAUUGAAUUGCAAGGCAACUGCAGUUGAGCAGUGUAUCCUGGGUGAUGCAUAAAGAAAGGCCCUCCAAUGGAGUGGUAUAAUUGAUACCAUUGUUCUGAGAGUCUAAUUGCUCUGUGUCAGGGGGAGUUAAGGGUCCCGGUGCCCAUGCUCCUUGAUCAUGAUAUAUCUCAGGAGGAGUGUCACCCCGGUCAUACUACCGGGGGGUUAGGAACAUAAGCCCAAUAUGUUUUUGCCUCUGCACAGGGAAAACAUAGCACACAGGAUAUCAUAGCUAGCAUGGCCAUAAACAUGGAGUCAGGGGUUUUUGCCUGACCCUGAUGCUCCAGCAGUUUCUCAUCUUCUUGUGUGGUUUUCUUGAUCUGUAAAACACAAGCAUACCCUCAUCCCCAUGUCAGUAAAUCUACCAGGCCUUUCCAUUGUCCUUCUUCCAGGGAUUUCCAUAAUACUUUUGGGUAAACUUUCCUUUUUCCCUCUAACAUUUGCCAGUGUCAUUCUACCGGAGUCUUAUUAUCUGUACCAGGAGUUAAAAAAUUUAAAGUAAAUAAUGCUAAAUGUAGUAUUGUUUGAGGUGGUAACUGGUCUCCUAUACCUCCUUUUUGUUUUUUCAGCGCAUGUUGUAAUGUUUGAUGUGCCUGCUCUAUAAUUCCUUGUCCUCGAGGGUUAUAAGGAAUUCUUGUUUUGUGAGUGACUGCCUAUAACUGUAAACAAUUUUGAAAAGCAUGACUAACUUAAGCAGGUCCAUUGUCAGUUUUUAAUUGUUUAGGGACCCUCAUAUCGGCAAAUGACAACAGACAAUGUCAUUGGACAUGGCCAGCUGUUUCACCUGUUUGACAUGUAGCAUGCAGCAUAUGAGAAUAAGUGUCUAUAGUCAUAUGAACAUAGCUAAGUUUGUCAAAGGCUGCUAUAUGUGUAACAUCAAUUUGCCAGAUUUCAUUUGGAGCUAAGCCUCGUGGGUUACAUCCUUCUACCGGUAUAACACCAGGGACAUGCUGACAAGUGGGGCAGGCUUGCACAAUAGCUCGAGCCUGGCUUCGAGGCAGAUGAAACAUACAAGUAAGGGCAGAGGUGUUUUGAUGCAGUAAUGCAUGAGAGGCUUCAGCUUGCUGAAACACAGAACCAAUCAAUUUAUCUGCUCUAUCAUUACCUAGAGGUAGUGGUCCAGGAAGUUGUGUGUCAGAGCGAAUAUGAGAAAUUUGAAAAGGAGCAGCAUGAGAGCAAACAGCUCGCUGAAGUCUUAGAAACAAGUUAAACAGCUCUGGUUCUAGGGUGCUUUUAAUAGUAGCAGUCUCAAUGCGACUGGCUACAUUUACAACAUAGGCUAAAUCACAGACAAUAUUAAUAGGAGAGGAAGCAGUGAGCUGUAAAACCUGAAUAACUGCCAUUAAUUCUGAGCAUUGAGCUGAAACACCAGGGAUUUUUAUUGUUUUAAUAUGCUUAGGUCCAUAAAUAGAUGCUCAGACUUUGGAAGAGCCGUCAGUGAAAUAAGUCUGGCCACCUGGAAUAGGCUUGUGAUGAGUAAUCACAGGGAGGAUAAAAGGGUAAACUUUAUAAAAUUGCAAAACUUUGUCUGAUGGAUAAUGAUUAUCUAUUAUUCCUUUGCUUCAGCCAACAUCGUAGAGCGAUGAAGCUCAGUUCCCACAUCCUGACAAGCUUUGAUAAAAUUUCCUAAGCUUUUUAUACAUCUCACAGAUGCCAAUGCAUGUUUACAGUCCGUGUUUGCAUUCUCAAAAGCUAGUUAAGGUUAGCAUUUCUGUAGCCAUGGUAAGAGAAAUCUGACACUUCACUGCCUAUGGUAAUCUUGCAAGAAAAUGUGCAUAGAGCUCCUGUGACCCUUUCAUGAUAUGUAAGAGAUUGUACUGGGACCCUUUCCUCUGGAAUUGUGGCCCAGGUGCGUUUAACAGCCAAGGCACACUGCUUACAAGCAGCGUCUGGGAGUGCUAUUUGAUGUUCUAGGUCUGAAUAGGGGCCACUGCCUAACAGCAUCCUCUGUAAUGUCUCUGUGUCCAGCAGCACGAUUCUAUCUAGCCUGGUCUGCACACAGUUCUUGCCAAUUUAAAUACCAUAUCAGGUAUGCACUAGCAGACAAACAAGUGCAAGCCAAAUGCUUUACAUCAAAGGGUGGAAGGCGCAUAGCGCCAAAUAGAUUCUAGCAGUCCUAAAGUAAAUGGGCUUUGUAUUCCAUUAUUAACUACACUAGCUUUUAAUUCCUUCAGCAACUUAAAUUCUAGUGGGGUGUGUUCAUGAAUAAACUGCUGUGGAUUAUGUGGAUCAGGCCUUACGGAAAUAGGAAAAGCUCAAGGUCCUAAGGGUUCUCCAGCCAUAGCAGUAGAGUGUAAAGUUCUUUGUAUUGGGGUCUCUAUUUCUGCUACUGAAGGAGGCGGUUCAGAUGUUUCUGCUACUAGAGGGGGUGACACAGGCCAAUUUUCAUCCUCCUGCUCCUGUUUAUUAUUUUUAAUUGGCGCUGUUGAGAGAACAGAAAGAUUCUUUCAAAUUUUUUGACUCUGAACAUGACUCCUGCUGUCUAGCAGAAUAAGAAAUGAAUAAUGGCAGGAUGAACUAAACUCCAAAUAUAAAAAAGAAAAUAGCCAAAUUCUUCCCCCAUGUUACCCUGAUUCAGAAACUUCCCGUUCCCAGUACCUCUUUAGGGCACUGACCUUAUAUUAGCUGUCAGCAGACUCGUCGCAGGGUUUCUCAUUCUCGUUCUUCUUGUCAGUGUCAGUUUCUCUGCUCCAGCAGACCUUCACUCACGUCCCUGUCCUAGGUGCCAGUUGUCGCUGUUGGUUGUUAUGGGAGUGAACGAAGGGGGAUGAAUGCAGAAACGAAGACAAAGACAAAAAGUAUUUUUGGAAGAAGGGGUCAGGGGGCUCCUUCUAGUGAGCAAGGGCCCUGAGCUUCUACAGCCCUUCGUAUUUAUUAGGUAGAAAGAGCAGGGAGGGAGAGGUAGCAGUUGGUCAGUUGCUUGAUUUAUCACAGGUAUACAUAAUUGCUUUCUUUGUACAACAGGCUUCAGAUGUUCCUAUAGAUAAUCACAAGGAACACUGUGCUUGGGGUGUGACUGCCCUCAGCAACCCUUCUGGCAGCAGACACAGUUGUUAGUUUUCCAACAUCCUGCUUUCAUGAGAACAGUUUUCUAUUUGCUCAUAUAGCCUCCAGUGGUAUACUGAGUUGGUCACGACCCUCAUUCUUUCGGCCUGUAACAGGCUCAUGCCUGUAAUGCCAGCACUUUUGGAGGCCGAGGCAAGAGGAUAGCUUGAGCUCAGGAGUUGGAGACCAGCCUGGGCAACACGGUGAAACCCCAUCUCUGCAAAAAUUAGCCUGGUGUGGUGGGGUGCGCCUGUAGUCUCAGCUGCUUGUGGGGCUGAGGCGGGAGAAUAGCUUGAGCUCCAGGGGUCGAGGCUGCAGUGAGCCAUAAUGGUGCUGCUGCAUUCCAGCCUGGGUGACAAAGUGAGACUAUCUCAAAAAAAAAAACGGCUGUUAGAUAAAAAUGAAGACAAACAACAUUUGCAAGGAUAUAAAUCUUAACCCAUUUAUUGGGGGUAUAGGCUCUGGUGUCAGAUUUCCAUCUGUCCUGUAUUUUGUAACCACAAAAUUGUCCUGGCUGGAUUAAUUGUAAGGAAGUCCCUUUAAACACAUCUAGACUUCCAAAGUUUGUUUACAUACUAAUUAGUUGUCAUGAAAAGCUGCAUUCAACCCAGGGUCUGAGAUGCCUUUUGUAUAUGAAAAGUGCUUCUCUUUCUGACACUGACUGAAUUACAUACAUAACAGAUUCAUUUAUUUAAAAACAAUUUAAGAGGCUUUUUCUAUAAUGCUGAACCUGCUGUGUGGUAUUUAUGUUUAAUUCUGGUCAAAUUUUCAAAACUAAUAAACACUGCAAUUCAAAACCAUUAAUUAUCAAGCA